rnacentral:rRNA from 1 species
GAUGAACGCUGGCGGCGUGCUUAACACAUGCAAGUCGAACGGAAAGGCCCUGCUUUUGUGGGGUGCUCGAGUGGCGAACGGGUGAGUAACACGUGAGUAACCUGCCCUUGACUUUGGGAUAACUUCAGGAAACUGGGGCUAAUACCGGAUAGGAGCUCCUGCUGCAUGGUGGGGGUUGGAAAGUUUCGGCGGUUGGGGAUGGACUCGCGGCUUAUCAGCUUGUUGGUGGGGUAGUGGCUUACCAAGGCUUUGACGGGUAGCCGGCCUGAGAGGGUGACCGGCCACAUUGGGACUGAGAUACGGCCCAGACUCCUACGGGAGGCAGCAGUGGGGAAUAUUGCACAAUGGGCGGAAGCCUGAUGCAGCAACGCCGCGUGCGGGAUGACGGCCUGCGGGUUGUAAACCGCUUUCGCCUGUGACGAAGCGUGAGUGACGGUAAUGGGUAAAGAAGCACCGGCUAACUACGUG